UAGUCCACGCCGUAAACUAUGAUUACUCGAUGUGUGCAAUAUAUCGUACGCGUCUGAGCGAAAGCAUUAAGUAAUCCACCUGGGGAGUACGGUCGCAAGAUUGAAACUCAAAGGAAUUGACGGGGGCCCGCACAAGCGGAGGAACAUGUGGUUUAAUUCGAUGAUACGCGAGGAACCUUACCUGGGCUUAAAUGUAGAAUGGCCUCCCGGCGAAAGUGGGAUUCCCUUCGGGGCAUACUACAAGGUGCUGCAUGGUUGUCGUCAGCUCGUGCCGUGAGGUGUCGGGUUAAGUCCCAUAACCGAGCGCAACCCUUAUCGUUAGUUGCCAGCGAGUAAUGUCGGGGACUCUAACGAAACUGCCGGUGUAAACCGUGAGGAAGGUGGGGAUGACGUCAAAUCAGCACGGCCCUUAUGUCCAGGGCUACACACGUGUUACGAUGGCCAGUACAAAGGGCAGCUACCUGGCAACAGGAUGCUAAUCUCAAAAACUGGUCUUAGUUCGGAUCGAAGUCUGCAACUCGA
rnacentral:rRNA from 1 species